rnacentral:miRNA from 1 species
UUGGUUCCGGCGUAGAUC